AUUUAAAUAACUUAUAAUUAAAUCGACCGAUAAAACCUAUUUUACAUGUUUUUUAUUUUAUUUAAUUCUAAAUA
rnacentral:tRNA from 1 species